rnacentral:rRNA from 1 species
UACGGAGGAUGCAAGCGUUAUCCGGAUUUAUUGGGUUUAAAGGGUGCGUAGGCGGAGCUUUAAGCGUGAGGUGAAAUGCCACGGCUCAACCGUGGAACUGCCUCGCGAACUGGAGUUCUUGAAUGCCCCUGCCGUGGGAGGAAUGUGUGGUGUAGCGGUGAAAUGCAUAGAGAUCACACAGAACACCGAUUGCGAAGGCAUCUCACGAAGGGGUGAUUGACGCUGAGGCACGAAAGCGUGGGGAU